rnacentral:pre_miRNA from 1 species
ACAACAUUUGGACCGUCGGUCUACUAAGCAAUAUCACUUGCUUGGUGGAAGAUAUUUCCUUUCGUCGU